CGCGUGUACUGGUCCGGCCGGGCCUUUCCUUCUGGAGAUCCCCAUGCCCUUCACUGGGUGUGUGGGGGGAACCAGGACUUUUACUUUGAAAAAAUUAGAGUGUUCAAAGCAGGCCUUUGCUCGAAUACGUUAGCAUGGAAUAAUAGAAUAGGACGUGCGGUCCUAUUUUGUUGGUUUCUAGGACCGCUGUAAUGAUUAAUAGGGAUAGUCGGGGGCAUCAGUAUUCAAUUGUCAGAGGUGAAAUUCUUGGAUUUAUUGAAGACUAACUACUGCGAAAGCAUUUGCCAAGGAUGUUUUCAUUAAUCAGUGAACGAAAGUUAGGGGAUCGAAGACGAUCAGAUACCGUCGUAGUCUUAACCGUAAACUAUGCCGACUAGGGAUCGGGCGAUGUUUCUUUCUUGACUCGCUCGGCACCUUACGAGAAAUCAAAGUUUUUGGGUUCUGGGGGGAGUAUGGUCGCAAGGCUGAAACUUAAAGAAAUUGACGGAAGGGCACCACCAGGCGUGGGAGCCUGCGGCUUAAUUUGACUCAACACGGGGAAACUCACCAGGUCCAGAUGAAAUAAGGAUUGACAGAUUGAGAGCUCUUUCCUGAUUUUUCAGGUGGUGGUGCAUGGCCGUUCUUAGUUGGUGGAGUGAUUUGUCUGCUUAAUUGCGAUAACGAACGAGACCUUAACCUGCUAAAUAGCCAGGCUAGCUUUGGCUGGUCGCCGGCUUCUUAGAGGGACUAUCGG
rnacentral:rRNA from 1 species